CGGGGUCAAAUGGAGUAGCAAGAGAGCGAAAGACGACCCACGCAAAAGGAGACAUACUUCCCUGGGUGAAAAUCCCUAAAACUGCCCUCUGACGGCUCCGCACGGACGCUUCUUGCAUGGCAGGGGAUUGCGCUGAACCUGUUUCAUGUGCUGGGCCAAAGUAGUUUAGAGGCGCACCUACAACUUAACUAUGCGGAGGCGCGAAUACCUAUUAUGACGAGC
ncrna:unclassified sequences RT-2 RNA